rnacentral:rRNA from 1 species
UACAGAGGUCUCAAGCGUUGUUCGGAUUCAUUGGGCGUAAAGGGUGCGUAGGUGGCGCCGUAAGUCAGGUGUGAAAUUUCGGAGCUUAACUCCGAAACUGCAUUUGAUACUGCGGUGCUUGAGGACUGGAGAGGAGACUGGAAUUCACGGUGUAGCAGUGAAAUGCGUAGAUAUCGUGAGGAAGACCGGUGGCGAAGGCGGUUCUCUGGGCCGUGUACUGACGCUGGAGGAGCGAAAGCGUGGGGAGCAAACAGG